rnacentral:rRNA from 1 species
GGCAUGCAGUCGUGCGCGAAAGUGGUAGCAAUACUGCGAGUAGAGCGGCGAACUGGUGAGUACAAGUGAAUAACGUGCCCUCGAGUUGGGGAUAACCCCGGGAAACCGGAGCUAAUACCGGAUAGUCUCACUGACCGCAAGGAAUGUGAGUAAAGCAGCAAUGCGCUUGAGGAUCGGUUCACCUCCCAUUAGCUAGUUGGUGGGGUAAUGGCCCACCAAGGCUACGAUGGGUAGCUGGACCGAGAGGUUGACCAGCCACACUGGGACUGAGAUACGGCCCAGACUCCUACGGGGGGCAGCAGUCUAGAGGCUUCGUCAAUGCCCGAAAGGGUGAACGAGCGACGCCGCGUGCGGGAUGAAGGGCUUCGGCUUGUAAACCGCUUUUCUUUGGAAAGAAGGCCCUGAUCGUGAAUCAGGGAUUGACGGUACCAGGGGAAUAAGCCCCGGCUAACUCCGUGCCAGCAGCCGCGGUAAGACGGAGGGGGCAAGCGUUGUUCGGAAUUAUUGGGCGUAAAGGGCGCGUAGGCGGUUUGUUAAAGUCGGCUGUGAAAGCCCGGGGGCUCAACCCCGGAGGGUCAGCCGAUACUGGCAGACUAGAGUACGGAAAGGUAGC